UACGUAGGGGGCAAGCGUUGUCCGGAUUUAUUGGGCGUAAAGCGCGUGUAGGCGGCCACGCAGGUCCGCUGUGAAAACUCGAGGCUCAACCUCGAGCUGUCGGUGGAAACCGCGUGGCUAGAGUCCGGAAGAGGAGACUGGAAUUCCCGGUGUAGCGGUGGAAUGCGCAGAUAUCGGGAGGAACACCCGUGGCGAAGGCGGGUCUCUGGGACGGUACUGACGCUGAGACGCGAAAGCGUGGGGAGCGAACAGGAUUAGAUACCCUGGUAGUCCACGCCGUAAACGAUGGGCACUAGGUGUGGGAGGUGUCGACUCCUUCCGUGCCGAAGCUAACGCAUUAAGUGCCCCGCCUGGGGAGUACGGCCGCAAGGCUAAA
rnacentral:rRNA from 1 species